AUUGUGAAAGCGUUGAAAGGAAUGAAAUCAGGAAAGGCUGCGGGAUAUGAUAAAGUUUCUGUCGAGAUGCUGAAAGCUGGACAAGGCAUUGUAGCAAGUCAGUUGUAUCGCCUUUUCAAUAUGUGCUUUAGAACCGGUCAAGUGCCCAGGGACUGGUGCAAGGCUGUCAUUGUACCUCUUUACAAAGGAAAGGGCUUACUCAGCGUCGUCGGCAAAUUGUAUGCAAAGAUAUUGAUUGAAAGAGUAGUGAAAGAGACCGAUGAGAAAGUAUGGGAUGCACAAGCGGGAUUUCGAAAGGGUAUGGGAUGUACGGAUCAAGUCUUUUCUUUGCGAUGCAUAGCCGAAAAGUAUUUGGCCAAAGGUCAAAAGGUCUAUUGCGCUUUUGUGGAUCUGGAAAAGGCUUAUGACAGAGUGGUGAGGAAUGAACUUUGGUCGGUACUGUCGAUGUAUGGAUUGAGCGGCCAUCUCAUUCAGGCACUGAAAUCGCUCUAUGAGGAUUCCAGUGCUUGUGUGAGAGUAAACGGAUCGUACACUGACUGGUUUAGCAUUGAGAAGGAUGUUAGGCAAGGAUGUGUAGCGUCACCGUGGCUGUUUAAUCGGUUCAUGGAUAGUAGUUUGCAUGAUUUGAGAAAUAAUGAAUGUGGGCUGAGAAUGAGUGGGUUGCUGAUGACCUGGUAUUGCUAGCGUCAUCGGGUGACGAGUUGCAGGAGAUGGUUACUGGAAUGUAUGGGUCUUUUGAAAGGAAAGGAAUGAAAAUAAAUGUAAGCAAGACGAAAGUAAUGGUAUUUGAAAAGGAAGAAAAUAUGACAAACUGUGAAAUUUCGAUUGGUCAAGAAAGAGUGGAACAAGUGAAA